GGUUAAGCGACUAAGCGUACACGGUGGAUGCCCUGGCAGUCAGAGGCGAUGAAGGACGUGCUAAUCUGCGAUAAGCGUCGGUAAGGUGAUAUGAACCGUUAUAACCGGCGAUUUCCGAAUGGGGAAACCCAGUGUGUUUCGACACACUAUCAUUAACUGAAUCCAUAGGUUAAUGAGGCGAACCGGGGGAACUGAAACAUCUAAGUACCCCGAGGAAAAGAAAUCAACCGAGAUUCCCCCAGUAGCGGCGAGCGAACGGGGAGCAGCCCAGAGCCUGAAUCAGUGUGUGUGUUAGUGGAAGCGUCUGGAAAGGCGCGCGAUACAGGGUGACAGCCCCGUACACAAAAAUGCACAUGCUGUGAGCUCGAUGAGUAGGGCGGGACACGUGGUAUCCUGUCUGAAUAUGGGGGGACCAUCCUCCAAGGCUAAAUACUCCUGACUGACCGAUAGUGAACCAGUACCGUGAGGGAAAGGCGAAAAGAACCCCGGCGAGGGGAGUGAAAAAGAACCUGAAACCGUGUACGUACAAGCAGUGGGAGCACGCUUAGGCGUGUGACUGCGUACCUUUUGUAUAAUGGGUCAGCGACUUAUAUUCUGUAGCAAGGUUAACCGAAUAGGGGAGCCGAAGGGAAACCGAGUCUUAACUGGGCGUUAAGUUGCAGGGUAUAGACCCGAAACCCGGUGAUCUAGCCAUGGGCAGGUUGAAGGUUGGGUAACACUAACUGGAGGACCGAACCGACUAAUGUUGAAAAAUUAGCGGAUGACUUGUGGCUGGGGGUGAAAGGCCAAUCAAACCGGGAGAUAGCUGGUUCUCCCCGAAAGCUAUUUAGGUAGCGCCUCGUGAAUUCAUCUCCGGGGGUAGAGCACUGUUUCGGCAAGGGGGUCAUCCCGACUUACCAACCCGAUGCAAACUGCGAAUACCGGAGAAUGUUAUCACGGGAGACACACGGCGGGUGCUAACGUCCGUCGUGAAGAGGGAAACAACCCAGACCGCCAGCUAAGGUCCCAAAGUCAUGGUUAAGUGGGAAACGAUGUGGGAAGGCCCAGACAGCCAGGAUGUUGGCUUAGAAGCAGCCAUCAUUUAAAGAAAGCGUAAUAGCUCACUGGUCGAGUCGGCCUGCGCGGAAGAUGUAACGGGGCUAAACCAUGCACCGAAGCUGCGGCAGCGACGCUUAUGCGUUGUUGGGUAGGGGAGCGUUCUGUAAGCCUGUGAAGGUGUGCUGUGAGGCAUGCUGGAGGUAUCAGAAGUGCGAAUGCUGACAUAAGUAACGAUAAAGCGGGUGAAAAGCCCGCUCGCCGGAAGACCAAGGGUUCCUGUCCAACGUUAAUCGGGGCAGGGUGAGUCGACCCCUAAGGCGAGGCCGAAAGGCGUAGUCGAUGGGAAACAGGUUAAUAUUCCUGUACUUGGUGUUACUGCGAAGGGGGGACGGAGAAGGCUAUGUUGGCCGGGCGACGGUUGUCCCGGUUUAAGCGUGUAGGCUGGUUUUCCAGGCAAAUCCGGAAAAUCAAGGCUGAGGCGUGAUGACGAGGCACUACGGUGCUGAAGCAACAAAUGCCCUGCUUCCAGGAAAAGCCUCUAAGCAUCAGGUAACAUCAAAUCGUACCCCAAACCGACACAGGUGGUCAGGUAGAGAAUACCAAGGCGCUUGAGAGAACUCGGGUGAAGGAACUAGGCAAAAUGGUGCCGUAACUUCGGGAGAAGGCACGCUGAUAUGUAGGUGAAGUCCCUUGCGGAUGGAGCUGAAAUCAGUCGAAGAUACCAGCUGGCUGCAACUGUUUAUUAAAAACACAGCACUGUGCAAACACGAAAGUGGACGUAUACGGUGUGACGCCUGCCCGGUGCCGGAAGGUUAAUUGAUGGGGUUAGCGCAAGCGAAGCUCUUGAUCGAAGCCCCGGUAAACGGCGGCCGUAACUAUAACGGUCCUAAGGUAGCGAAAUUCCUUGUCGGGUAAGUUCCGACCUGCACGAAUGGCGUAAUGAUGGCCAGGCUGUCUCCACCCGAGACUCAGUGAAAUUGAACUCGCUGUGAAGAUGCAGUGUACCCGCGGCAAGACGGAAAGACCCCGUGAACCUUUACUAUAGCUUGACACUGAACAUUGAGCCUUGAUGUGUAGGAUAGGUGGGAGGCUUUGAAGUGUGGACGCCAGUCUGCAUGGAGCCGACCUUGAAAUACCACCCUUUAAUGUUUGAUGUUCUAACGUUGACCCGUGAUCCGGGUUGCGGACAGUGUCUGGUGGGUAGUUUGACUGGGGCGGUCUCCUCCUAAAGAGUAACGGAGGAGCACGAAGGUUGGCUAAUCCUGGUCGGACAUCAGGAGGUUAGUGCAAUGGCAUAAGCCAGCUUGACUGCGAGCGUGACGGCGCGAGCAGGUGCGAAAGCAGGUCAUAGUGAUCCGGUGGUUCUGAAUGGAAGGGCCAUCGCUCAACGGAUAAAAGGUACUCCGGGGAUAACAGGCUGAUACCGCCCAAGAGUUCAUAUCGACGGCGGUGUUUGGCACCUCGAUGUCGGCUCAUCACAUCCUGGGGCUGAAGUAGGUCCCAAGGGUAUGGCUGUUCGCCAUUUAAAGUGGUACGCGAGCUGGGUUUAGAACGUCGUGAGACAGUUCGGUCCCUAUCUGCCGUGGGCGCUGGAGAAUUGAGGGGGGCUGCUCCUAGUACGAGAGGACCGGAGUGGACGCAUCACUGGUGUUCGGGUUGUCAUGCCAAUGGCACUGCCCGGUAGCUAAAUGCGGAAGAGAUAAGUGCUGAAAGCAUCUAAGCACGAAACUUGCCCCGAGAUGAGUUCUCCCUGACUCCUUGAGAGUCCUGAAGGAACGUUGAAGACGACGACGUUGAUAGGCCGGGUGUGUAAGCGCAGCGAUGCGUUGAGCUAACCGGUACUAAUGAACCGUGAGGCUUAACCUU
rnacentral:rRNA from 1 species